rnacentral:rRNA from 1 species
UGGGGAAUAUUGGACAAUGGGCGCAAGCCUGAUCCAGCCAUGCCGCGUGUGUGAAGAAGGCCUUUUGGUUGUAAAGCACUUUAAGCGAGGAGGAGACUACUUGGAUUAAUACUCUAGGAUAGUGGACGUUACUCGCAGAAUAAGCACCGGCUAACUCUAUGCCAGCAGCCGCGGUAAUACAGAGGGUGCGAGCGUUAAUCGGAUUUACUGGGCGUAAAGCGUGCGUAGGCGGCUUCUUAAGUCGGAUGUGAAAUCCCUGAGCUUAACUUAGGAAUUGCAUUCGAUACUGGGAAGCUAGAGUAUGGGAGAGGAUGGUAGAAUUCCAGGUGUAGCGGUGAAAUGCGUAGAGAUCUGGAGGAAUACCGAUGGCGAAGGCAGCCAUCUGGCCUAAUACUGACGCUGAGGUACGAAAGCAUGGGGAGCAAACAGG